rnacentral:rRNA from 1 species
UGGGGAAUCUUGCGCAAUGGGCGAAAGCCUGACGCAGCGACGCCGCGUGAGUGAUGAAGGCCUUCGGGUUGUAAAGCUCUGUGGGGAGAGAAGAAUUAGUGCAGCCUAAUACGUUGCAUGAUGACGGUAUCUCCUUAGCAAGCACCGGCUAACUCUGUGCCAGCAGCCGCGGUAAGACAGAGGGUGCAAACGUUGUUCGGAAUUACUGGGCGUAAAGCGUGUGUAGGCGGUCCACUAAGUCGGGUGUGAAAGCCCUGGGCUCAACCCAGGAAGUGCACUCGAAACUGGCGGGCUAGAGUAUCGGAGAGGUUGGUGGAAUUCUCGGUGUAGAGGUGAAAUUCGUAGAUAUCGAGAGGAACACCGGUGGCGAAGGCGGCCAACUGGACGAAUACUGACGCUGAGACACGAAAGCGUGGGGAGCAAACAGGAUUAGAUACCCGCGUAGUCC